GAUAUGGCUCGUGGACAGCAGAAGAUUCAGUCUCAGCAGAAAAAUGCCAAAAAGCAAGCUGGACAAAAGAAGAAACAAGGACAUGACCAAAAGGCUGCUGCCAAAGCUGCCUUAAUAUAUACCUGCACUGUUUGUAGGACACAAAUGCCAGACCCUAAGACCUUCAAGCAGCACUUUGAGAGCAAGCAUCCUAAGACUCCACUUCCUCCAGAAUUAGCUGAUGUUCAGGCAUAAAAUUGUUUACAGGUGAAUUCAUGACACCUUUGACUCUUCUACUGUCUCAGACCUUAGGUAAACCAGGAUUCAUACCUAUCACUGCCAUUUAGAAUCCGAGUGACUUUAAGUAGUAAACUUAAGUCACAUCUCUGCAUCUCAGUCCUUGUCUCUAAAGUGAGGAUAACCACCUACUUUACUGGAUAUUGGGAGACCACCCUUCCCCUCCACAGGGGUUGCUAAGCUGUGAUGCCACAGAAAGGAGCUAUCUGCAUCCACACCUCCGUUCACUCAUCAGCCGUGGGGAGAACAAAGCCAACAGAGAGAGUAAAUAGGAGAUGAGAACUCUGGUGGCUUUGUUCUGCUUGAGCACACGCCUCCUGCCCUUCUCAGCAAUAGGCAUCAGUUCCUCCCCUCUGUUGGCCCCAAGCUAGUUGGGGUUGGGGUCCCGCACACUCUUAAUGGACUAACUGAUUCAUGGUAAGUUUGACUAGUAUGAAUGUUCACAGGCUUAGCUGAGAUUCUCCUCAGAGUAAUUCAGUGUUGUCAUUUGGUUAAAAGUUCCAGCCCAAGGUCUCACAACAUUUUAAUGGAACUAAAAAGUGGUCUACUUUUACUUUAUCACCCUCCAUAUAGACCGACCAGUCUGCCCACACGGUCUCUGAGAUUCUUGGGGGCCCCUCCAAGGGGAAGAUCCCCCAGUAGAAGUAGUCAGAGUAUUUGGAGACAAGGGACACUAAAUUGAGCAGUACUUUGCUUGGGGACCUAGGAUAUCUCUAGACAAGGAGAUUGGGGCAAAACAGUCAAGUGAUUCUGGGUUGAAAUCAUGUGGGACUGGAUUAAAGUGACUCUUUGGACCUGAGUUUCUAUAAUUCUGGCCCCAGUAAAAGGGUCUGGUUGAAUCAGGAGUCCCAGAAAGCUUUAGUGCAUUUCUGGAAUCUCAUGGAUUCCAGUCUUCCUAGAGAGAGUAAAUCAUUAUUCGUGUGUGUGUGUGUGUGUGUGUGUACACCCAGGUUCCAGCCUCAUACACUUCUCCAGAAUAGAAGAAUUAGAAGCAUGGUGAAAAAACCCCAGAAUUCCUUAAAACUUCUUUGGGAAUCAUCUCCUGGAUUUGGCCUCCUUUCCUCCUGUGACAUUUUUCAUCUCAAAGCUCUAAAUUCUUUUCACAGCCGCUAAGUAGGUGAAAGCCCUUCGAGAACAGUCUCCUAUUGUCUCGCUUUCCUCUGGGAAAUAAGUGGGAAGGUGAUUUGAGGAGUUGGGGAGGAGAGAACAUUUUCCCUGCACCUCAAAUCUGGCAGGCCCAGGUUGAAAAAGCUCCAGAAAAUGUAGCACUUGAAAAUGUAGCCAGGAGAUUGGAGACCCAGGAGGCCCAGAACGAGAAGCAAAAGUGGGUUUGCAGUGUUAUUCUUGUCUUCGCUAGGCCAAUCCCUCCUCCUUGCCGUGCUGUGCUUGCUGCCUGGAGCAGAUCUUUUUUAAAGGGUAACUCUCUCCUUGCUGAACCAGAGCUUUUGUCGCUUUGGCCUAUGGGGUUCCCGUGGACAAAGGAGGGAAUUGGGAGAGAGGACCAAGUCCCCGUCUGGCCACCUUGCAGCCAGAGCAGGCUCAGGUUGUGUGAGCGUGCACCACAUGGCUGUGAGUGUCCCUUUUCCCCAUCACUGUUUUGCUGGUGACACAAUCAGCCUCUUGAAGAUGCUAAUGAGAUUCUUGUAGAGAGCUACAAAAUCAGCUGUGGCAGAUGGUAGAAGGUUAGGUUUUAAUUUCUCUUGUUCUACUGUUGUUUUUCUCUAAAAAUGUGCUAACCAACGUGCCGUUUUCUUGUGCUUUAUUUCGACAAAGGCACAAGUUAAUUUUUUAAAAUCCUUUUCAUCCAACCAUCCUCUCUAAUCAAAAACUCAAUGGGCAAUAUCUUUUUAGAAACAAAAGCAAACCAUUACCUGGCAUCUUCUCUCCCCCCUGCCCCCCAUGCAGUCUGUAUUUCUUUACACAGUCGAAAUCUUGUAAAUCGUCUCUGAAUCUAUAGAGAUAAUAUAUACCAAUGUUAUGAGAGCCCCUAGGAAUGUCUAAUUUCAUUUUCUUAUUGGCUGGGACAAGGCUAUUGGGUUUUGGUUAAUCUGUACUCCUCUAUAGAUAGAUAUAAAAGCAAAAAAAUAUUAUUGGAGCCAAUAAAGAGAAUAGCUACCAUUUAUUGAAUAUUUUUGAUAUCUGAGCACCAUGCUAAAUAAGGUAUGGACACUAUUUAAUUUACGUCUCACAUUAAUCCUAUAAGUAGGCACUAUCAUUAUCCCCAUUUCACAGAUGAGGAGACUGACACUUGGAGAAAGAAACUUAUUCAAGAUCAGAUGGCAGGAAGUGGCAGAACUGGAAUUCAAAGCCUGGAGGCCCCACUCCAAAAUCAGUGCUUUGAAACGGUGUGUUCUUUUGUUUUCCUUGAUGAAUUUCUGUUGCAUUAGUGCUGUAGGCUUAAAGAUUCAGGAGUAAUUUUCCUGAUUUCAAACCCUUGUUUGGGGCCCAGAUAUCAAAAGACUUAUUUAUGGUGGGAGGCGCUGACCUGACUUAUGGCAGUGUUGGUUUGGCUGCAAAGAUGGAAGACAGAUCCAUCAUUUUGCAAAUGAAGAAAUUGGGAUCCACUGGGUAUAAUGUGUCAGCUAUCUAUUGCUGUGUAACAAAUCAGCCUAAAAUUUAGAGGCUUAACCCACAAAAGCAUUUUCUUGCUCCCAAUUCUGUGGGCCAGGACUUUGGGCAGAAUUCAUUAGUGCUGUCUCAGGACUAUUCCAUGUGAUGUCAGCUAGGCUGCUGGGACUAGGGCUUCUCUCACAGGCUUGGGGCCUAGAGGUUGGUGGCUGGCUUUCUGCCCAACAUGACAGCCUGGACUUUAGGUGGUGGCUCAAGGUGGCAAGAGAGCAAAGGGCCUCAGCCCAGACUGGAACAGCACCCCCUCUGUCUCCUUCUAUUGGUCCAAGCCACACUCAAGUUCCUUGAUUCAAGGGGAGGGAAAUAGACUGCACCUUCUGAUGAGAGGAGUAGCAUAUGCCAAUAGGGGUGGCCUGUGCAUGGCCAUCUUUGCCGACAGCACCACACAUGGUGACAGACAGCCAAGGAAUAGGCCAGUAUUACAGAAAAUCCUAUUGUGGUAGCUUUCCUGGAAGGGAAAAGACUCCCCUUAGAAACUACAUUCUACGGAGUUGCCCUUGUGGCUCAGCAGUAAUGAAUCCAACUAGCAUCCAUGAGGAUGCAGGUUCAUCCCUGGCCUCGUUCAGUGGGUUAAGGAUCCGGCGUCGCCGUGAGCUGUGGUGUAGGUCGCAGACAUGGCUCAGAUCCUGUGUUGCUGUGGCUGUGGUGUAGGCCGGCAGCUGCAGCUCUGAUUUGACCCCUCUCCUGGCAUGCCACACAUGAGGCCCUAAAAAGAAAAAAAAAAAA
rnacentral:lncRNA from 1 species